CAUAAAUACAUACAUAUCGACACAUACAGACAUUGUAUGUGACAUAUGUGGACGCAACAGUUAUAUAUAAAUCCAUCGUUUACUGAAAUCACUGUCCCCCCUCCCCACCCCUUUUUAUUCUACCUUUCUCGUUGCCAAAAGGGUGGUUCGUUAACCCAAGCCGCAGUACAUAGCACUUACAGCCAUACAUACAUACAUACAAGUGCAUUCUUUCUCGUUUUUUCGCUUUCGCAUCUCCACCGUUUGAUUGCGUUGUAUUUGUUGUGAAAAUUUUCGUUGCCGCUCUUGAGUUUAAUAAUAUACAUAUAUUUUUUUCGAACGUUAUUUGCAGCCACCCUUUCUAUUGAUACCUAGUGCCUCGACAUUCAAUAUAACAAUUCGUUUUCGAUUAUUGUCCUCGUUCAAACAUUGAACAAAAAAAAAUUAAAAAUGAUGAUGCAUAUGCAGUCGAGUUGAAAGAGCUGACGAUUGUAACCAAUGGAGAGAUAAUGUCGCCGCCUUUGCUGCAGCAAGUUAUACAAAGCCAGUGUCUUCUUCAGCCCAAACUCGUGCUAGACUCCCGAAAUUGACAUCACCAAAAUUUAGUGGUAAACAUUCGGAGUUCAAAAAUUUCAUUAGCCUUACCGGUGAUCAAAAAAUUUAAUCAUUUGAUUUCGUGCCGCUCUGAGGAAGCAUUAGGAACAAUAAGGGCGUUCCAAGACGCCGAGGAAAAUUAUGAAAAAGCCAUGGCCGGCCUAAAACGAGUAUUUGACAACGAUUAGUUGAUUUUCACGAAUAAUAUCUCCACAUUGUUCAAUCUGCCGAGAAUAUCGCCUCAGUCCGCAUUGUUCCUAAGAAAUCUAAUCGAUACUGUUUCGGCGAUGUACGGAUCGUUACUGUUGAUCGGAGACGAUACAAAAAUUUCGAAUGCAAUGCUCAUUCUUCUCGUUUUGAACAGAGUCGACCCAGUGACGAAACAAAAGUGGGAUUAACAGCUUACUUAUGAGAAGUUGCCGCUUUGGUCUGACUUUGAGAAAGUCUUAAAUCGUCGAUACCAGCAUCUGUCUGCUGAGGAAUCGACCAAGCCAAGACAAGACAAAGUCAUGCCAAGCAAGCAAAAUAAUCGCAGUUUGUUUUCUUUUUCUCCCUCUUCCACCAACAGUAGAACUCAGCAAACUUGUAGCUAUUGCAAUUCAGGAGACCAUGUAGUGUCAAAUUGCCCUCCAUUUUCUCGUCUCUCAGUUAUGCAAAGGUUUGAGUUUGCCAAAUCGGCCUCCUUAAUUGUCUGCGAAAAGGCCACGCUGUUGUAAAAUGCAAAGCCAAUAAAUGUCGAGUGCGCAGCUGCUCACAUCAUACAUUAUUGCAUCGAUACACAGUGUCGGCUAAUAGUCUCGCGUUGCCACCACCCCAAGAGAGUCCUUCUCCUCCAUCAAAUCAGAAUCAACCUUCCACGUCACAUGUUCUGCAUGCGACAGCGUUGGACAGGGUAAUUCUGGCGACGUUGAUCGUAAGCGUCAGAACUAAGAGCGGUGAACAUAUUUUGGGCAGUGAUCUGCUCGACUCUGGAUCACAAAUAAAUUUCAUUACCGAGGACCUCGCUCAUCGCUUACAGAUCCGUAGAGAGGAGUCCUGUAUUAACUUGAUUUGAAUUGGUGAAUCUACUUCUAAAGUAAAGGAUAAAAUACACACAGUGGUGAAGUCGCGAAUUAAUGGUAGUGAGUUCUCCUCUGAUUUUUGGAUCCUGAAAUCAAUUUCAGGUUAUCACCGUGACCAGUCAGUGAAUGUGGCUGACUGGCGAAUCCCAGAGAACAUACCACUGGUAGACCCUUAUUUUUACAAGCCACAAAGAAUAGAUAUGCUAAUUGGAGCCCAAUCGUUCAUUGAAUUAUUAGCUGUUGGUCAAACUAAGCAAGGUGCUGACUUUCCAAUUCUUCAGAAAACCCUUCUUGGUUGGGUUGUGUCCGGAAAAUAUGUUUACAGGAGUUCCUCAAAUUAAAAAUAGUUUGAAUUGCUGUAAAGAGUUGCUAUUAUCCAUCGAUAUGACCCUAAAAAAGUUUUGGUCAUUGGAAGAAAUUCCAUCUACCAAGAAAAUUGAGCAUAAGCUAUGUGAAGAACACUAUCGUAAGACGACUCAGGUACUGUCAUAAGGACGGUUUGAAGAAAGGCUCCCGCUGAAAUCAGAUCCAAGUUUUUUAGGUAACUCAUUUGAGGUUUCUAAGCGGCGGCUUAACAAACAGCGUGGAAUAGGUUAGAAAAUACAAUGUCUCAAUUGGAAGACAUAUCCAUAUCUCGGCUUGUGUAUUCCGAUAUCAUGUCAGCGGUUCAAAUACUUGCUUUUGCUGACGCCUCCAUGAAACUCUAUGGAGCGUGUGUCUACGUAGCUGAACUGCCGAAUUUCUAAAAAUAUCAUUGUUGACUUCCAAAUCCAAAGUAGCGCCGUUCAAGACCAAAACGCUCCCAAGGCUUGAAUUAUGUGCCACUCACCUUCUCGCAGAUCUCUGUCACAGAUUCAAACUACUAUUAAACAUCCCCAUCGAACGAGUUGUUUACUGGUCUGAUUCAGAGGUAACUCUUCAUUGGAUCCGGUCUCAUCCAUCGUUGUUGCCAACUUUCGUUUCGAAUAGAGUGGCUGAGACUCAAGAGUGGUCAGAUGAUGCUACGUGGCGGCAUAUACCCACGAAACAGAACCCAGCAGAUAUUUUCUCAAGAAGUUGUGACGUCAAAGAACGCCCAGUAUAAACUUCGAAAAAACUGUCUCACCGAUCGAAUAUAAUGAAGCCUUUUAUAAAAUUUUCGAGAUCGUCCAGCAUCACAAGUGUAAAGGAGAAAUCGAAAAGGUUCGUCGUGCACCGAGGAUAUCCCCAAACCGUUCAAUGCGACAACGCGUCGGAGCGGUCCGCCAAGGGGUCCAGAGCAAGGGGACGCAAUUCGAGAAUUCGCGUCAAGGAACGGAUGCGAAUUUUUCGUUCAUACCGCCGCGAGCUCCUCACAUGGGAGGGCUAUGGGAGACAGGUGUACAAAUCGCCCAAGAGCUCGCCACAGUCUUCGUCGACAUCGAGGCAACAAUGAACUCGAGGCCGCUGGGAGCCAUCAGACAAGAUCCAAGCGACGGUGAGACCAUAACACCCGGGCACCUGCAGACAGCGGGUCGCGUUUUGGCAGCGAUGGUCCCGCGAGUAUGUCCUGGGGUUGCAAAUUCCUGGCAAAUGGCCCCAGCUGCAACCGAACCUCAAGGAAGGAGACUUCGUCCUCGUGGCCGAAGACAGUCUGCCGCAUCAGGAGUGGCUCGUGGGGAGGGUCAUCGUCCCGCACGAAGGAGAGGACGGCGAAAUAAGGAUUAUCCCUGGAGCGGUUUUUCGGCGGGCCAUAUACAAGUUGGCGCCGCUCCCAAUAUGUUGAAGCCGUGCAUCCCUUCAACGGGGCCGGUGUGGCGUGACCUUUCAUCAAAUCGUUAUAAUAUUUGAAUUGUUUAUUUGUAUCUUAAUUAUAAAGUCAAGUGUAAGUUAGGUUAGGGCAAAGCGGGAGCGCAAUAAAACCUCGCUCUCUCGCUCUUGGCGAAUUCGCCCCGUUUUGCCACCGUAGGUUAGCUAGAAUAAUUAGCUUGAAUUGUGAAGGAAAUAUAGUCUAUCGUUUAUAUUGAAAGAGAUCGAGCGCAAAAUUUUCGCCCCGCUAAAUACAUAUAAUUAAAUUACUGCCACCCAAAGUUUUCGGUGAUUUUUGUUUCUAAAUUUUCAAACUCUUUUAUCAAUACGGGCUAACUAAUAUAACAAAUUGUAAAGAACAUUUUUAUCAAAUAAAACUAACAAAUAUUAAAUAAAGAAAAUAUAAAUAUAUGGUUACCAAACCAGUGAGUUUGGCAAUUG